AUUAAACGCUGGCGGCAUGCCUUACACAUGCAAGUCGAACGGUAGCGCGGGGCAACCUGGCGACGAGUGGCGAACGGGUGAGUAAAGCAUCGGAACGUGCCCUGGAAUGGGGGAUAACGUAGCGAAAGUUACGCUAAUACCGCAUAUUCUGUGAGCAGGAAAGCAGGGGAUCGCAAGACCUUGCGUUCUGGGAGCGGCCGAUGUCGGAUUAGCUAGUUGGUGGGGUAAAAGCCUACCAAGGCGACGAUCCGUAGCGGGUCUGAGAGGAUGAUCCGCCACACUGGGACUGAGACACGGCCCAGACUCCUACGGGAGGCAGCAGUGGGGAAUUUUGGACAAUGGGCGGAAGCCUGAUCCAGCCAUGCCGCGUGAGUGAAGAAGGCCUUCGGGUUGUAAAGCUCUUCGGUGGGAAGAAGUUAGCACGGGUUAAUACCCUGUGUAGAUGACGGUACCCGAC
rnacentral:rRNA from 1 species